GGAUGCGAUCAUACAUGCACUAAUGCACCAGAUCCCAUCAGAACUCCGCAGUUAAGCGUGACUAAGUGCCGUUAGCUCAAUUGGUAAAGACCCUAGGCGAACCUUAGAGGUCGGCAGUUC